AAGGUUUCCGUAGGUGAACCUGCGGAAGGAUCAUUAUUGAAUGAACUUGGUGUGGUUGUCGCUGGCCCUCUUGGGGGCAUGUGCACACCUACCAUCCUCAUCUCUCCACCUGUGCACCUCUUGUAGAUUUGGAAUUGAUUAUCCGAGGCAACUCGGUCGUGAGGACUGCUAGCACUUAGCUGGCUUUCUUUGCAAUUCCAGGUCUAUGUUUUUCAUAUACCCCAUUGUAUGUAACAGAAUGUAUCAUUGGGCCCUUGUGCCUAUAAACCUUAUACAACUUUCAGCAACGGAUCUCUUGGCUCUCGCAUCGAUGAAGAACGCAGCGAAAUGCGAUAAGUAAUGUGAAUUGCAGAAUUCAGUGAAUCAUCGAAUCUUUGAACGCACCUUGCGCUCCUUGGUAUUCCGAGGAGCAUGCCUGUUUGAGUGUCAUUAAAUUCUCAACCAUUAUCAACUUUUGCUGAUAAUGGCUUGGAUGUGGGGGUCUAUUUUGCUGGCUUCUCAGAUAGUCAGCUCCCCUUAAAUGCAUUAGCCGGUGCCCCGCGUGGACUGUCUAUUGGUGUGAUAAUUAUCUACGCUAUAGACAUCUGGGUUUGCGCUGCUUCUAACAGUCUGUUGAUUCAGACAAUACAUGACAAUUUGACCUCAAAUCAGGUAGGACUACCCGCUGAACUUAA
rnacentral:rRNA from 1 species